CAGCCGUCCGGGUUUCUGUCCUCCUCCUCCUCCUGCACAAAUGCACUUCUGAAAACAAGGAUCUCUGCCUCCUGCAGCCCAUAAAGUGGACCUGAACUGGGGAUGAAACAUGAUUGUGGAGUGAAGAAAAUGGUUGUCUGCAAGACUCCUGCCUCAUUUGUUGCAGAAGUUAGAAGAAGGACACCUUCAUGGAGCUGUGUGAGUAGCUCGUCCCUGCCCUCUAGUGAUGGGACACCCACAUGUGACCUGCCAUCCCCUUCCAGAAGGGAGUUGCCAUCGCACUUUGGAAGCUUGCCAUGCCGAUCAGCUACUGCUCCACUGGGAACCUGUUUGACAUGGGGCGAUCGACCAUCAGGACUGUGCUCAUGCAGGUGGUGAGGGCCAUCAACACCAUCCUGUUGCUCAGGGUUGUCAUCCUGGGCGACGUGGACCCCCUAGACACUGGCUUUGCUGUCAUGGACUUCUCCAACUACAAGAGGGCCAUUGACAGCACCCAUAUCCCCAUCUGGGCUCCUGACCACCAGGCCUCCAAUUAUAUCAACCUGCAGGCCCUCGUGGACCACUCCGGCAAGUUCACCAACAGCGUCGGAUGGUCAGGGAAGGUGCACAACCCAUGUCUUCAGGAAUCCUACUUUGUUAUAGAAGAUGCACGCCGGCACAUUUUUCCUCUGACUGCACCAUCGGGGUCAGGGACGUGGACAUGGACAGACCAAUGUGCAUCAUGGAGGAUGUAGCCCAUCCUUUGCUGAUGAACCCCCACACGUGUAGUCCUGAAAUUUUGUAACUAAUAAGUCAGUUAGUUAUAAUGAAUGUAUGUUAUAGCAAAAGGUUUGAAUUAA